AACGCGAUCUGCCAAACCCUGUCGCCUCUCUUCAUCUUCCCUUUAGCCUCGAUGUAGCUAAGCUCAUACCACAACGAAGACGAAGAUGUGUUACCAAACCUAUGUAACGUCAUUCUCGAGGCUUCCACGUGCUCUGCCGAUAGCUGUAGGUUCUUCUGCAGCUCGUCGAUUACUGCUCUACCUCCAGCGUGGAUGCAGAAAUGUUCGAAAGCCAUCUUACACGUGCUCUGCCGAUAGCUGUAGGUUCUUCUGCAGCUCGUCGAUUACUGCUCUACCUCCAGCGUCGACGCAGAAAUGUUCGAAAGCCAUCUUGAAAUCUGGUAUGUACGGCUUCCACUUUGCAUUAAAGAUUUUACGUCCGAUGAGAGACGUGAGGAAGAGCAGCUGUUCGGAUGCCGGUAGGACCAAAGGACCUAUUCAUCCAGUACUUGUGUUAAUUCAAGAAGAAGAAAAACAUGAUCAUAGUGAUAUAAAGUCAUUAACUCUUAGACAAAUUAUUAUACAACAAUUUAAAAUUUACGAUAUAAACUAAGCCGCAACUGUGUUUUUGGUCCUGAUGAGUGACCACUGUGUUUGUGUCAGAGUCUAGCAGGUGUAUAUAUAUAUUUCAUAUGAACUCUUAAACAUUUUAAAGCAGAAUUUGUUCCAUUUAUAUUUGCGUUUUGCACAAAUAUUUUUUCUUGAAAAACUGAAAAUAUUUAUUCCUAAAGAGGUGAAUUAAAUGCACUAAGUGUUGGCCCAAUCCAACUCUUAUAGUUAUGAUACUCCAUCGGUUUAUAAUGUAUGAUGUUAUGGGUAAUACAAAAAAAGUUAAAUGUUUUUUUGUUCAAAAGCAUUUUUAAAAUAAAAAAAAAUUAUUUAACUAUUUUAUAAAAAUGAUUGUAAAAUAUAAAGUUAAAAUUAAGAUGUUAAAAUAUUUUACAUUUUAAAAUAAUAGAAAUCUUCUAAAAGUAUCCUGAAACUAUUAUAUCGUUAGGAAUGAAAAGAAAAUCAUGUAAACAAAGCAUAUUGUAAUAAGGAUUUUGAGUUACCUAUGGUGGUGAUGUUAGACUUCAAGGCUUCUCCAGCGAUGGCCAUGAGAUCUUUAUUCAAGUUGAUUCCGACGUGACUUUCAUCGUCUUCCUGCUGGUAAACGCAAUAGUACGACUUGUCUUCCGCACCCCGGUGGGUC
rnacentral:lncRNA from 1 species